AUUGAACGCUGGCGGCAUGCUUUACACAUGCAAGUCGAACGGCAGCGCGGGCUUCGGCCUGGCGGCGAGUGGCGAACGGGUGAGUAAUACAUCGGAACGUGCCCAGUAGUGGGGGAUAGCUCGGCGAAAGCCGGAUUAAUACCGCAUACGACCUGAGGGUGAAAGCGGGGGAUCUUCGGACCUCGCGCGAUUUGAUCGGCCCAUGGCAGAUUAGCUAGUUGGUGGGGUAAAGGCCUACCAAGGCGACGAUCUGUAGCUGGUCUGAGAGGACGACCAGCCACACUGGGACUGAGACACGGCCCAGACUCCUACGGGAGGCAGCAGUGGGGAAUUUUGGACAAUGGGCGAAAGCCUGAUCCAGCAACGCCGCGUGUGUGAUGAAGGCCUUCGGGUUGUAAAGCACUUUUGGCGGGAACGAAAAGGACUGUGCCAAUACCACGGUUCGAUGACGGUACCCGCAGAAUAAGCACCGGCUAACUACGUG
rnacentral:rRNA from 1 species